CUAAAUAUUCCAAAACCACUGCAUUUUUUUGCAAGCAUUCCCUGUGCUGCAUUAGGGGCGUGUGGCUACAUCACUGUUUGACAUCUGUUUUUUUUUGUUUAGCUUAGUUUUGUUUUUGAGACAGUCUCUCUGUCACCAGGGUACAGUGCAGUGGUGUGAUCUCAGAUCACUGCAGCGUCCUUCUACUGCAUUCAAGCAAUUCUCCUGCCUGAAACCCUUGAGUAGCUGGACGAAAGUCUCUUACCACCACCACACCCACCUUUUUUGUAGGUUUAAGUAGAGCCGGGCUCACCAUGUUGGCCAGGAUGGUCUCAAUCUCUUGCCCUCAUGACAUGCCCCCUCAGCCUUCGAAUGUGCUGGGAUUACAUGUUUGAGGCACCGUUUUCAGCCUGCUAUCUGGUUUUCUUAUGUCACCGAGUGAAAACAAGACCUGUGCCAACAGGACCCAGCAUGAUGUAAUCCUCAUGGUGUUUCUUUUUGUCUCAUUGCAGGAGAAGCCUUCGGCCAAGUAUCACCACCGUCCUGUUGAGGUUUUACAGGACCUCGUCCUAGAAGACAUAGAGGAUGAUGAGAUGCCCCCUGAUGUGGUAAGAUGCAUUUCUUAGUCUUGAUGAGAAAUAUUUAUUCCUGGUGUCUCUGGAAUAUCAGGUGAAUAUCAUUUUUGACUGCCAUUGUGAAUGAGACCUCAGUUGUCAUGGACUCUAGCGAGCAGUCAGUGGAGUUUCUGACCAACUGAGGCCUGAUUGACGAUGUCAGUCAAAAGAUGGCAUAACUCACAAUCUGGUCGUGGGCAUAUUUCUCAGUAGCAACAUUUUCUUCUUGAAAAGUAAUUUCGUAUUUUUCAGCCAGCAUAGACAGUUGCUAAAUAUUCCAAAACCACUGCAUUUUUUGCACACAUCCCCUGUGCUCCAUUAGGGGCAUGUGGCUUCAUCACUGUUUGACAUCUGUUUUUUUUUGUUUAUCUUAGUUUUGUUUUUGAGACAGAGUCUCUCUGUCACCAGCGUUCAGUGCAGUGGUGUGAUCUCAGAUCACUGCAGCGUCCUCCUACUGCAUUCAAGCAAUUCUCCUGCCUGAAACCCUUGAGUAGCUGGAUGAAAGUCUCUGACCACCACCACACCCACCUUUUUUGUAGGUUUAAGUAGAGCCGGGUUCACCAUGUUGGCCAGGAUGGUCUCAAUCUCUUGCCCUCAUGACAUGCCCCCUCAGCCUCCGAAUGUGCUGGGAUUACAUGUUUGAGGCACCGUU
rnacentral:lncRNA from 13 species